UACGAAGGGGGCUAGCGUUGUUCGGAAUUACUGGGCGUAAAGGGCGCGUAGGCGGUUAAAUAAGUUAGGUGUGAAAUCCCUGGGCUCAACCCAGGAACUGCACUUAAAACUGUUUAGCUAGAAUACAAGAGAGGACAGUGGAAUUCCUAGUGUAGAGGUGAAAUUCGUAGAUAUUAGGAAGAACAUCAGAGGCGAAGGCGACUGUCUGGCUUGAUAUUGACGCUGAGGCGCGAAAGCGUGGGUAGCAAAC
rnacentral:rRNA from 1 species